GCGAACCCCAGAGGUAGGAGCAACCUGUCUGCUGGGUCUCACCUGUUGUGUUUUGGUUCCAGCCUGCCCCACGCUGUAACAAACUACUCGCAAGUGCUACUGAACAGGACGAGCUGGAGUGAGAUCUGCAGCGACUGUUCCACCAGAAGUACUGAAGAUAGGAUCCAGCUGCUGAGUGUGCAACUUCAGGAAUAACCUUUUCCCCACUCCAAACUACUAGCCACAGCAACUUGCUAUUUCACAUUACCACAUGAAAAUUGCAUCCACUUCAUUGUUGAUACUUCUGUCACAGAUCAUAGAUGCAGAGAAUCUUCUCUUAAUGGCCAGGCAGUGUGGUGGUCCCUGGUUGAGUGUGCAGCUUACAUAAAUUAUAAUGGAAGUUGAAAUAGGAAGAAUUGGGCCCAACAAGCACAGCUUCGUCAGAAGUUGAGCUGGCAUGAAGUCUUGAAACACAACUGUCAAACUGAUGGUGGAUAUCCUCUGGAGAUGCCAAGCUAAAUGUUCUUGUGGACUUUCCUCUACUAUUCCUCCCCUUUCACACACCAAGAAAGAAGGACAAAUCUUGAAUUUAAAAAAAAAGUGUAAGAAUUUUGUGGUAUAAAAAUGUAGAGGAUAUUUUUCUUCCAUUGACUUGAUGUCUGUAUAUUUCCUGCAGUUUUAGUUAUGACGUCUUUACUUGGCCAGCUGAUUUGUGAUUCAUUCUUGAGAGCUCUGAGUGGCAGGUACUGUAAACAUCCUACACUCUCAGCUGUGGAAAGUAAGGAAGCUGGGAGAAGGCUGUUUACUCUCUCUGCCUUGGAAUGCAGCUGGAGGGAAGAGGAUGGAGAGUAUUGCAAGUUCAAAUAUGUCUCUGCUCUGAUCGUGUUGAUUGUAAUUCUGAAAACUUGCAUUUUGUAUUUUACAUUUUGGUGUCAGUAUACGAGUAAUGGAAUUAUGUAGUGAUGUGAAAUUUUAAUGAGAAAGGAAUGUGAGAGGAGGGGUGUGUUAUUAAUAUGCUUCUGUGGCGUUGCUGGUAUAUGAGAGUGCUGAGUGGUAGCAAUUAAAACAGCAUG